UACGUAGGCAGCGAGCGUUGUUCGGAGUUACUGGGCGUAAAGCGUGCGUAGGCGGUUGUCUAAGUCUGGUGUGAAAUCUCCCGGCUCAACUGGGAGGGUGCGCCGGAAACUGGAUGACUGGAGUGCCGGAGAGGUAAGCGGAAUUCCUGGUGUAGCGGUGAAAUGCGUAGAGAUCAGGAGGAACACCGAUGGCGAAGGCAGCUCGCUGGGACGGUACUGACGCUGAGGCGCGAAAGCGUGGGGAGCAAACAGG
rnacentral:rRNA from 1 species